CUCGUUACAGGCCAACAGCCUAUAAUGAUGCCAGUAAAAAAGUUAGCCCUGUGCUCGGAGAAAGAAAGAAGGCUUAUGGAUACCCAAAAGCUUCUCUUGAAGAAGGAAAGUACCUCGACCACAUUCUCAAUAUGGCGUCUAUGAUCACUUUCUAUUCUUUUUUUUCUCCACCAACUAAUUUGUUUCUGUUAUAUACACAACUACAUAUCAGAACAGGUUAUUGGUCUCGCUUUCAGUUCUCUAACGAAGCAUAUUGGCACAUCGUGAAUUUUAAAGGAGUUUGUCCAUCUGGGAUAUUAACAGUAGGAAGUCAGAUAUUAUGCUAUUACUGUAUGUAAUUGCAAAGUUUUAUUGCUCUACUCACCAAACCCCCUAUACAAGACUCUUCCCUGAAUCCUAAACCCCUGAUGGCUUAGAGUUCCAUGGAAGCCUAAAGUCUUGCCUGUGUGCCAGUGUUUUCUUCUCCUGAUAGUGGGGUCGUGUUCUGAGGUUCCAAGAUAUUGAGGGAGGGAAGAAAGAAUGGUAAAACAACUAGAAGACCUGUGGCAGAGGAUGAAGUUGACAUAAGAUAUAGAGAAAGAAAGAGAGGCAUGGAGAGCUACCCUAUAUAACAUGUGGAAAUUGGAAAGCAGUAAAGGGAGUAAGGACAUGAGAGCUGGGAAUGAUGAGCUUAUUCUUGUUCAUAUUCAAUGAUUAGACGGAAAAUUAGAGGGUCAAACAGGGAGGACCUUCGUCCUUCGGCAAGAAUCUAGUGCUCUUGCUUGAUUUGAUAUCCAUGCACAAUCAAGACAGAUGACUGAGGCUUCAUUCUGGGUGCAGAUUUAUAAUCCUUCCCCCAAAGAGUAUGGCGAAGCAGCAGUCAACAAAUAUAUGAUAAAUAUAUAGCCUGUAGCCUUUCCUUAUGGUGGAUCAGCAUUCAGCAAAUAUAUUUGGACGAAAUAAUCCAAGCCAUGAGUCUCAAUGUUAAACUUGGAAUUUUAUUUUAUUUAUUUUGUUUUUUUGAGAAGGAUGUUAAACUUGGGUUCGAUCUACCUUUCAGAUGAAUAUAACAUUCAUGCAGCUGGCAGACACCUUGGAUUUUUAGUUGCCUAUGUUCAUGCGAUUCCAUUUCCCAUUUGAUUAAACAUUUUGGCCAUAUUAUGUAAAACAAAAAGGACUACCCUUUAAAAAAAAAAAAA